rnacentral:lncRNA from 1 species
CUUGCUGCUGUGCUGCGCGAGUCUCUCCCCCCAUGGAAACCUAACCCCGCCCAAAUCCCAGAUCGGAGCCACCACAGACCCCCCACGGAGCCAGCCUGAGCCACCCACCUCCUUGAUACUCGAGGCCUUCCUCUUCCUCCAAAUCUCACCUCCUUCACUCCUUGAAACUCGAAGUGGAAGCCAGCCUGAGCCACCCACCCACCGGCCACCGUGAAGACGAAGACGACCUCACCACCUCCGAGUCUCCGACCUCGCCGCCUCCACCCAGAAAGCCUCCACCCAGCAGCGUUUCUGGGUUCUGUAGGGUCACCUCACCACCUCCGACCUCGCCGCCUCCACCCAGAAAGCCUCCACCCAGCAGCGUUUCUGGGUUCUGUAGGGUCACCUCACCACCUCCGAGUCUCCGACCUCGCCUCCUCCACCCAGAAAGUCUCCCACCCAGCCACCGAUUCAAGUGCAUAUGGAGCCCGAGCAAUCUAUUCAG